AGCAUACGGAAAGCUGCGGCAAGUACGGAAAAGCUGAGAGCAGGCUUCCAGGAAAAGCUUCUAGCACAACACGCAUCGGCCCGUACCGAAAAUGGACACACAUGGGCAAGGAGAGAAUCCUGAGGUGAGCGAGAGAACUAUAGCUAAGGAACUCUGCAAAAUGACCCCGUAACUUAGGGAGAAGGGGUGCUCCAGAAAUGGAGCCGCAGUAAAACGGCCCAAGCGACUGUUUACCAAAAACACAGCUCUCUGCGAAGGCGCAAGCCGAAGUAUAGGGGGUGACGCCUGCCCGGUGCUGGAAGGUCAAGGGGAGCUGUCAGCGCAAGCGAAGCAGCGAGCCGAAGCCCCAGUAAACGGCGGCCGUAACAAUAACGGUCCUAAGGUAGCGAAAUUCCUUGUCGGGCAAGUUCCGACCCGCACGAAAGGCGUAACGAUUUGGGCGCUGUCUCAGCUGUAGACUCGGUGAAGUCUUAGUACCUGUGAAGAUGCAGGUUGCCCGCGACUAGACGGAAAGACCCCAUGGAGCUUCACUGCAGGUUGACAUUGGUCUUGGAUGCAUGAUGUACAAGAUAGGUGGGAGGCUGUGAGCCGUGCGCGCCAGCGUACGGGGAGCCGCUGUUGGGAUACCACCCUUCAUGCAUCUAGGUCCUAACCGGAGGCAACGGGCCACGGGACAGUGUCAGUCGGGCAGUUUGACUGGGACGGUCGCCUCCCAAAGAGUAACGGAGGCGCCCAAAGAUACCCUCAGCAUGGAUGGAAACCAUGCAUAGAGUGCAAAGGCAUAAGGAUGUCUGACUGCGAGACAUACAGGUCGAGCAGGGACGAAAGUCGGGCUUAGUGAUCCGGCGGAUCCGAAUGGAAGGGCCGUCGCUCAACGGAUAAAAGCUACCCUGGGGAUAACAGGCUGAUCUCCCCCAAGAGUUCACAUUGACGGGGAGGUUUGGCACCUCGAUGUCGGCUCAUCGCAUCCUGGAGCUGAAGUCGGUUCCAAGGGUUGGGCUGUUCGCCCAUUAAAGCGGUACGCGAGCUGGGUUCAGAACGUCGUGAGACAGUUCGGUCCCUAUCUGUCGUGGGCGCAGGAGGUUUGAGGAGAGCUGCCCCUAGUACGAGAGGACCGGGGUGGACGGACCGAUGGUGCACCAGUUGUCACGCCAGUGGCACAGCUGGGCAGCCAAGUCCGGACGGGAUAAGCGCUGAAGGCAUCUAAGCGUGAAGCCCCCUCCAAGAUGAGACCUCCCAUUGGCGACAAGUAAGGCCCCUCGAAGACGACGAGGUUGAUAGGCCGCGAGUGCAAGCGCAGCGAUGUGCUUAGCGGGGCGGUACUAAUAGGCCGAGGACUUGGCC
rnacentral:rRNA from 1 species